GAUGAAGAACGUAGCGAAAUGCGAUAAGUAGUGUGAAUUGCAGAAUUCAGUGAAUCAUCGAAUCUUUGAACGCACAUUGCGCCCCUUGGUAUUCCAUGGGGCAUGCCUGUUCGAGCGUCAUUUGUACCCUCAAGCUUUGCUUGGUGUUGGGUGUUUGUCCCGCGUUGCGCGUGGACUCGCCUUAAAGCGAUUGGCAGCCGGCAUAUUGGCCUUGGAGCGCAGCACAUUUUGCGCUUCUAGUCAUGAAUGUUGGCGUCCAUUAAGCCUAUAUAUUUGCUCUUGACCUCGGAUCAGGUAGGGAUACCCGCUGAACUUAAGCAUAUCAAUAAGCGGAGGA
rnacentral:misc_RNA from 1 species